rnacentral:rRNA from 1 species
CGGGUUGUCACGCCAGUGGCAUUGCCCGGUAGCUAUGUUCGGACAGGAUAACCGCUGAAAGCAUCUAAGCGGGAAGCCCCUUCCAAGAUGAGAUCUCCCCGGGCCCUCGAGGCCCCUGAAGAGCCGUUCAAGACCAGGACGUUGAUAGGUCGGGUGUGUAAGCGCUGCGAGGCGUUGAGCUAACCGAUACUAAUUGCUCGUGCGGCUUGACUAUAUAACACCCAAG